GGAGGGUGCGAGCGUUGUUCGGAAUCAUUGGGCGUAAAGCGCGUGUAGGCGGCUUGGUAAGUCGGGUGUGAAAUCCCGGGGCCCAACCCCGGAACUGCAUUCGAAACUGCCUCGCUAGAGUCCCGGAGAGGAAGGCGGAAUUCCCGGUGUAGAGGUGAAAUUCGUAGAUAUCGGGAGGAACACCAGCGGCGAAGGCGGCCUUCUGGACGGUGACUGACGCUGAGACGCGAAAGCGUGGGGAGCAAACAGGAUUAGAUACCCUGGUAGUCCACGCCGUAAACGUUGGGUGCUAGGUGUCGCGGGUAUUGACCCCUGCGGUGCCGUCGUUAACGCAUUUAGCACCCCGCCUGGGGAGUACGGUCGCAAGGCUA
rnacentral:rRNA from 1 species